AUUGAACGCUGGCGGCAUGCUUUACACAUGCAAGUCGAACGGUAACAGGCCGCAAGGUGCUGACGAGUGGCGAACGGGUGAGUAAUGCAUCGGAACGUGCCCAGUCGUGGGGGAUAACGCAGCGAAAGCUGCGCUAAUACCGCAUACGAUCUAUGGAUGAAAGCGGGGGACCGGAAGGCCUCGCGCGAUUGGAGCGGCCGAUGUCAGAUUAGGUAGUUGGUGGGGUAAAGGCUCACCAAGCCAACGAUCUGUAGCUGGUCUGAGAGGACGACCAGCCACACUGGGACUGAGACACGGCCCAGACUCCUACGGGAGGCAGCAGUGGGGAAUUUUGGACAAUGGGCGCAAGCCUGAUCCAGCAAUGCCGCGUGCAGGAAGAAGGCCUUCGGGUUGUAAACUGCUUUUGUACGGAACGAAAAGGCUCUGGAUAAUACCUGGGGCUCAUGACGGUACCGUAAGAAUAAGCGCCGGCUAACUACGUGCCAGCAGCCGCCGUAAGAC
rnacentral:rRNA from 1 species